GGAUAACGUCAAAACGACAUGCAAAUCCCCACUUCCCCAGUGUCCCCGGUGACCGUGUGUGAUCGGGUUUCUCCACGCUGCAACAUGCCAGCGACACUUUCAACUACACACACUCACACCGUGUUCCCGCAGCGCCGACUCAAAACGCAGCCACGAGGCGAACGCCGCCACUCCAUCUCGCUGUACGUCAGGAACACUGUCUCGCUUCAGAUGUUGGCCGGCGAUUCCGCCGCUCUGUAAUUUAUCUCUGCGCUCAUGUGGAGAGAAAAGGCUUCAUCUCACACAAUGGCUCCAGACAGGCAUUCAUUAUUCAAAGACGUGAGUUAAAUGAUGUUGCUUACAAUCAAAUAGUAAAGAGACCAAAUUUACCAGAGUGUUUUUCUCCAGACAAUAAGACUUGGAUUACGUACAGCCUGACGGGCAAGAAUGGCUGUAUCUGUGUGUAUUUAUAUAUAUUUGUAUGGAGAGAGACAGAGAGAGAGAGAGAGAGAGAGAGAGAGAGAGAGAGAGAGAGAGAGAGAGAGAGAGAGAGAGAGAGAGAGAGAGAGAGAGAGAGAGAGAGAGAGAGAGAGAGAGAGGGUAGAUGGAGAGUUUUCCUGCCUUCCAAAGAAGUGGACAAAACUUUGAGCGAAUAAGGAACUCUUUAUUACACCCCCUCCUAUCCGUUAACAUUGCCACUACCGGGGAACACAUGACAUUCCACACACGAUCCCUUGUCAGUGGAUCCAAUUUAUUUACUUGGCUCGAGGAAUACAUUGGUCUGAACCACGUGGGAAAUGACUGCGCAUUAGGAGGCGGUCUGGAGACGCCGGCAGCAUACAGGCUCAGCGUCGCUGCUGGUGCCGUGACGAUGUUGGCCAUCAGGACCCCCUGUAAGAUCAAAUCCCGACUAUAACAAUUAAAUGUGUGAAUGUCAAACAAACUCAUCUUCGCGUUUUUGGAGCAAGCCCAACCGCAACAAAGGAAAAGCAGGCAUAUUGUUUUAUUUUUAGAGCAGAGAGAUAUGUUCCUCGUCAGUUCCCAGGGGACUCAGCGGUGCUCUUACGUAACUGCCGUGUGUUUUCACCGGCUGGCUUUGGGUAUCGGCAGGCCGGUGUAGAGCGCUACCAGGCGGAAUAUUGAUUCGGAGCAGAAAGAUGGGGCCGACUUCAGAUCUGUUCCACAAGUUUGCGUGUUGAUGGCGGAACCGAAUAAUAGGUAUGCAAAUAAAUACCACGCAUACCAGCACCCAGCAGAAAGCUUCUCAGCAGCAGGCCUGUCUGCGGCUUUAUUUGAAGACAUCAAUGCUAUUGCUCCCCCCCCCCCCCCAGACAAUAAAUACUACCACGUUGGAGAGCUUUCCUCCAGCAUCUAUUUUUAAGCACUCGAAACAGAAAAUAUAAUUCAUUGAAUUAUAAUACGGUUAAAAAUAAAGAAAUCAAAAUAACUUCCAAGGCUCCUGAGGAACUGCUGAAUCUCCUCUCUCCCUCCUAUGUCAAGUAUUCCAUCGCUCAGUAUUCCCAUCUGGGGGGGAGGGGAUGUGGGGGGGGGGUUAUUCCUGCAGCAGAGGACGGAGAGGAAGUUGCCACUUGACAUUGAUGCCAAGGCCUGGAUGUUGUUGUUGUUCCCAUCGACGAUAUUGACCCGGGCUUUGCGACUGUAAUCUAAUCUACUUCAUUCCCUGAAUGGUGAGCCUUAACAAGGGGUAUCCCUUACAGGUGGCAACGCAGCGCUUAACUCCCCUCUCUGGGGCCACACUGUACGUUACGGAAACAUCUGGAAGUUUUACUCUAUUGUCGCCAAAAGUGGUGCGAUAAUGAGGAGUGCUCUGGACUGCCAGAGCCCCGUCAUAGUGUCGCUUUCCUACCACCACCGAACCCAUUCUGUUUUAUCCCAUCUGCACAAAAACAACUGACAACUCGAGUCAUUUCUGCUGGCCUAGUUUGUGCACAUGGCGAGGCACUGCACGUCAUGAGAAAGACAAACAGAGAGGCACAAUUGCACAGGAUAGACAGCUGCGUGUGUGUGUGUUUGGGGGUGUAUGUAUGUGUGUGUGUGUGUGUGUGUGUGUGUGUGUGUGUGUGUGUGUGUGUGUGUG
ensembl:lncRNA